GGCUAGGUGGCCGAGUGGUUAAGGCGUAUGUUUCAAGAGAGAUCCCUCUCUUCCCCACAAGGGAUACACAUAUCUCGCAAGAGUCAUCAGUUCGAACCUGGUCCUAGUCA
rfam:Gaeumannomyces graminis var. tritici R3-111a-1 unplaced genomic scaffold supercont2.7, whole genome shotgun sequence.